rnacentral:misc_RNA from 1 species
GAUUUUGACCAGAGACACUUCCAAUGUGUAAAAGCUGCUGAUAAGUGGGAUCAUCUCCAACCUCUACCAGUGGAGAAACAGAGCUCAAUUUUCAAACAGGAGUUUGAAUCCCUGGGGUUUGUGGAGCUGCCAUUAAUACAUAAGUUCAUUCUGUUUGUCGAGAAUACAUUAGGAACCAGACUUAAACAGUUGCCAAGUAUACAGAAGUUCAGGCUGCAUGUCGUCUUUUCUG